UUUCCGUUGGCUAACCUCAGCCUUAUCUUCCUCAUUUCUGUUUCCUCUUGAAGACACUAAGGGCCCUUCAAAACACAGGACCUUCCUGAUCACGGCAUAAAGCCCAGUUCCCUGUGGCCUCUGCACGUUGGCUCAUCACAGGGAACCUAUGCCUCCUACGAGAUGACGGUAUCACUCCAAUUAACAGGACUCAUAUUUUUGGCCUUUUCUGCAAAGAAGAGGAGAGGAAGGAUUGGAUGGUAUCUAGGGCCACAUCUACCAGGAAGAUCUCACCUCCCCACUGAAACCUCAGGCCCAGCCUCCUGCAGUGCCACACUCCGUGUAUUUGACAAGCUGAGUUGGACACUCCGUGUAGUAGAGUGUCAGUUUGUCAAAUACCCCAAGUGCGGCAUAUGCCUAGCAGCUCCAGGUCAGGGAAGCUGAGAUCCAACAAACAGACUGCCAGCUGGAUACAAAAACACUCUACAAAUACCAACUAAGCUCUCAGAAGAUAUUUUUGAUGACUUUGAGGAAAGUAAAACAUUGUAUCUGAGGGUGUCAGGGAGAAAAUGAUGCAGCUCUGCUAUACACAUUGUGGGAGCCCUAUGGGGGCACAAUAGGCUUGAAAAGGUAUUUGGGGCUCAGGGAUGGGAGUCCUCCUUGAUUCAUUAUUUUCUUCCUUCACAUUCCCUUCCCUGAGUCCCCCUUGCAAGGACAUCAGAAUUCUCACACAAGCAUAAUGGCAGGGCUUAGAUACCCACUUUCUUGACACUUAGCCUUGGCUUCUAAACACACUUUGACCUUACAUAUCUCUCUCCUUUUCCACAUACUUUUUCUCCUUCUAAAAACACCUUAAUUUCUCUCUGCUUUGUCCAAUUCUUUCCCAUACUUCCUGGCCCAACCAAAGUCCACUCUAUCUAAGGACUUUUGAAAGUCAGUCUACAAUCUUUCCAACUUCAUUUUCAAAGCAUUCAUUGCCUGGGUGCUGGUAUAUACCCUUCUAUCUGCUACUGCCCAAUGGUACCUCUUGAAUUGUUGGUGAACUUUUAGAGGGGAUAUUUUUGAAUUCUCCACUAGAUUAUGAGCUUCUCGAGGACAAAACUGUUUCCUUGAUUGCUAUCUCCCUAUUCCAUCCCUACUGCAGUCCCUAACAGAGUACUCUGUUUACAGAAAAUACUUAAUAAAUGUUUACUGAUUGAUUGACUUUCCACUAGUCCAUUAACUUUGGGUCUUUGGGCCAAAUGCUACCUAGGAAUUUUGUGAGAAAAAAAAAAAAACUUUGGUUACCACAAUGCUGUAAGGUGUGUGAGGUAAUUGCCAAAA